rnacentral:rRNA from 1 species
UACGGGGGGAGCAAGCGUUGUUCGGAUUUACUGGGCGUAAAGGGCGCGUAGGCGGCCACCGCAAGUCGGUUGUGAAAUCUCCGGGCUUAACCCGGAACGGUCAGCCGAUACUGCAGGGCUAGAGUGCAGAAGGGGCAACUGGAAUUCUCGGUGUAGCGGUGAAAUGCGUAGAUAUCGAGAGGAACACCUGCGGCGAAGGCGGGUAGCUGGGCCGACACUGACGCUGAGGCGCGAAAGCCAGGGGAGCGAACGGG